UACGUAAGGUCCGAGCGCUGUCCGGAAUCAUUGGGCGUAAAGGGUAUGUAGGUGGAUAAGCCAGUUAGAAGUGAAAUCCUAUAGCUCAACUAUAGUAAGCUUUCAAAACGGCUAAACUUGAGGUAUGGAAGGGAAAGUGGAAUUCCUAGUGUAGCGGUGAAAUGCGCAGAUAUUAGGAGGAAUACCGAUAGCGAAGGCAACUUUCAGGCCAUAAACUGACGCUUAGGUGCGAAAGCGUGGGUAGCAAACAGG
rnacentral:rRNA from 1 species